CUUGAAAUAUGAAAAUUCUACAAUUGCACAAUUGAAAUCAAUGAACAAUAGAGAUCGAAAUUUUAAAACCGAUUUAAUAUUUAAAAAACAAAUGGAUUCCUUCGGUUGGAGCAUGGAUGUAACUUCACAGAAUGAAUUGUUGAUUGGUGCCCCCGCUGCGCAUACAGGACGGGUAAUAAAAUAUGAUAAGGCUUCAAAUUCGGUUGACCCGCGCUUAAUCCACAAAAUCAGUUACGAAAAUCCCGUUACA